rnacentral:rRNA from 1 species
AGUGAACGCUGGCGGUAGGCCUAACACAUGCAAGUCGAACGGCAGCACAGUAAGAGCUUGCUCUUACGGGUGGCGAGUGGCGGACGGGUGAGGAAUACAUCGGAAUCUACUUUUUCGUGGGGGAUAACGUAGGGAAACUUACGCUAAUACCGCAUACGACCUACGGGUGAAAGCAGGGGAUCUUCUGACCUUGCGCGAUUGAAUGAGCCGAUGUCGGAUUAGCUAGUUGGCGGGGUAAAGGCCCACCAAGGCGACGAUCCGUAGCUGGUCUGAGAGGAUGAUCAGCCACACUGGAACUGAGACACGGUCCAGACUCCUACGGGAGGCAGCAGUGGGGAAUAUUGGACAAUGGGCGCAAGCCUGAUCCAGCCAUACCGAGUGGGUGAAGAAGGCCUUCGGGUUGUAAAGCCCUUUUGUUGGGAAAGAAAAGCAGCAGGUUAAUACCCCGCUGUUCUGACGGUACCCAAAGAAUAAGCACCGGCUAACUUCGUG